CGUAACACGGGAGAAGCUGGGAGGAGAACGAGGGAGAAGGGUGUAACUGGAGUGAGUUGGUGAUCCGAAGCCAUGACUGCAGCGAUCCCGUGCGUCCUGCACCAUCAAGGGAAGGACUCUCUGGCUUCGCACUGCGCCUACAUUGACCGUUGCCGCCGCUGCUACCGCUACUCGGAGGGGCACUGCCUCGCAUUGGGCCUUCACUUCCGUCCCGCUAAUACACGUGUCGCCGUCGCAGCUACUGGCACUGAGGGACUUCGCCUCGCAGCGGCCUGGCAAACACCUGCUACACCACCACCACCACCACCACUAACUCCACCACCGCAGUCCAGAGAUUCAGCUUCGCAUAGCAGACAUCCUCCUAUUCAACGCUUGCUGCCACUACCACCUCAUUAUGGUGGUGUCACUGUACUUGGAUCUGUUGUCACUACUGAAUAAUAAUGUGUAAAGAAA